rnacentral:rRNA from 1 species
AUACGGAGGGGGCUAGCGUUGUUCGGAAUUACUGGGCGUAAAGCGCGCGUAGGCGGAUUGACAAGUUGGAGGUGAAAUCCCGGUGCUCAACCCCGGAACUGCCUUCAAAACUGUCAGUCUUGAGUUCGGAAGAGGUGAGUGGAAUUCCUAGUGUAGAGGUGAAAUUCGUAGAUAUUAGGAAGAACACCAGUGGCGAAGGCGACUCACUGGUCCGAUACUGACGCUGAGGUGCGAAAGCGUGGGGAGCAAACAGGAUUAGAUACCCUAGUAGUCC